GAUGAACGCUGGCGGCGUGCCUAAUACAUGCAAGUCGAGCGAACGGACGAGAAGCUUGCUUCUCUGAUGUUAGCGGCGGACGGGUGAGUAACACGUGGAUAACCUACCUAUAAGACUGGGAUAACUUCGGGAAACCGUAGCUAAUACCGGAUAAUAUUUUGAAACGCAUGGUUCAAAAGUGAAAGACGGUCUUGCUGUCACUUAUAGAUGGAUCCGCGCUGCAUUAGCUAGUUGGUAAGGUAACGGCUUACCAAGGCAACGAUGCAUAGCCGACCUGAGAGGGUGAUCGGCCACACUGGAACUGAGACACGGUCCAGACUCCUACGGGAGGCAGCAGUAGGGAAUCUUCCGCAAUGGGCGAAAGCCUGACGGAGCAACGCCGCGUGAGUGAUGAAGGUCUUCGGAUCGUAAAACUCUGUUAUUAGGGAAGAACAUAUGUGUAAGUAACUGUGCACAUCUUGACGGUACCUAAUCAGAAAGCCACGGCUAACUACGUG
rnacentral:rRNA from 1 species